UCCAGAUCAACCUGGAAAGAAGUA
rnacentral:tRNA from 1 species